GCAGAAUGUCAAUUUACCACAAUAAUUACACAAUACAAAACUACAACAUUACUUACAAAAGGCUAUAACAGUUGCUAGCUGUUAUUCAACAUUUUACUUACAAGGCCCCAGCCCUUUGGCUGGGGUUAAGUCAGAGCUGGUUCUACAUGAUCAGUCAGGUACAGGCAAAAACAGAGAGCUAGCUUCUCCUAACAUCUGAUUUUUAUUCAGUGUAAGUAGGCUGGCCUGUGAUGUCACUGCCAGAAGCACAGGUCUUCCUACACACUCCCCCUAGUGGUGCCCCCAAAGCAUUACACUAAAUAUGCUUUACUGACAUCUAGUGGUGCGUCUAAAGCAUUAAGCUCAUUAUGCUUUUUUUAUGACAAAAAGUCAUGAAUUAAUAAAUACCAUUACACAUGGGUUGUGGAGCACUGUAGAAAUGUCUUGAUAUGAUAAAUUUGAUGUGUAUGAACCUGUGAAUGAAUUGAUAGUUUUCUUUUGAAAGGUACAAAUGGAGCAUUUGCCACAACGAUAGAAACGCUGUAAUAGUUCUUUAGAAAAAAAUAUGUGUUGGUAGUGUGGAUAUAGUUCUUUCGGCUUUUAAUAAGCUUGGAGGUAGUUUGUUUUUUAGAUUGUCUGCUCUCUUACACAUCACUGUUGUUUUUUGGGGUACAAUUUUGUUCAAGAAUAUAUCUUUCCUCAACAUGUGCCAAUGUCUUUUACUUACAAUAUUUUUGGCUUGAAAAUUAUAUUUGGUUAUAAAGGCAAAAUCAAAUUGAUUCUUAUUUUUGAAAUGGUUUGUUCUGGUUUGUGUGAUUAGUUCAUUUCGAUUAGUGUUGAUCAAAGAAAACUCUGCUUCUUCGAUUGAUUUUAAAUCGUAACCUUUUUCAGUAUAUCUGUUUUUUUAAUCAUUUUGGACUGGGUCUUAAAGGUAUCUUUUGGUGCGGGAUGUUAGUAUAUAGUGAAACCACGUCUACCGAGGCUAAAAUAUAACCAGGUUUCCACUGUAUUAGUUGUAAAUCUUUUAACAGAUAUUUUGUCAUUUAUAUAUGAUGGUAUAAUGUGUACUGUAACAAAACCCUGCCAUGUGCCUGGGAAUGUUCCCUGUUAACGGCCCUUUAAGAACUAGCCAGGGACAUAUGCUAAAACAGAGACCUUGGAUUAAAAGUAUAUAUAUUUUCCUGACUUACAGGACAUCACAACGCUUACAUGCUGGAGGUUUUUCUAGCUACUUUCGGGAGGAUUGCUACAAAGCUUUUCGGGACUUUUUAAAGCAUUCGUGCAAUUGGGGCACCUAACACUGUAUGAAUGCAAACUACUGAAUGCAAAGUACCGAACAUCAUUGUGCUGCAUCCAUGUGUAAUUGCAAGCACACGGCCGCUUUAUUGAAGUCCCUGGGUGGCCACCAUUUCGGUACUUUUUUACACGUGGCCUUGUCCAUCUUAAUUCCCGAACAGCAGUGUUUUGCCUUCGAGUGUCUGGAACUAAAAUCAGACACUCGAGUAGGCGAACACCGCUGAAACCUCCAGACUACCAGAAAUCUGUGCCAAAACUACCGGACGCCCCGCCGUUCGGUAGAAAGACUACUUAACACAUGGGGAUUCUAGCGAACACGAGAUAUGCACGGAUGGCAAGCCUUUCGGGACUUUUUACCCACGAACAAGAAGACUUUAAAGUGCCAUAUCCCCUGAACCCCUGAAUUGAAUGAGAUGAUUUUUAAAUAUGUUGUUCCCCCAGAAUAGGGCUAUAUUUAUUUGGGGUACACAGAUAUUUGGGGUACAUCCAAAACUUGGGGAAAAAUUUAACUUUGUUAAUUGUGUUACAGGCUUAUCUGAGGGGAGGAGAUGUGUGGGAUGUACCUUAUGUUUUAUUGGUUGUUGUGUUAAUUAUGUGGGUGUCUCCCUUGCAUGGGCAGCAUCAUAUAAAAGGAGAGUACCUGCCAUUAAAAUUCAGUUCUUCUUGACCCUUCAAAACGUGGCCUUGUCUCGUUCUUGAAAGGGGAUAUGCAGCUUAAUCACCUAGCUCUUUUAAGAGCUCUGUCUGACUCUUGCCUUGGAUCCAGUGAAUGGGAAUAAGCAACUUCACUACUACACAGCGACUUGCCGGGGAAAAAGGACGUCUCCAACGGCUGAUACCCUCUUACUACCUGGGUAGACAUUGGUGGUAGCGGUGGGAUGGUCCUUUUAUCCACAGAGCAAGUGCUGAAUGGAGUCUCAGUAUGACAGACUGAAGAGACCCACACUGAAGGAUCUACUGGAGAGUCGUGGAUGGAGUGCCAGUAACAGACCACGGAGAGAGCUGAUGGAUCGGUCCAUGGAAGUCACCAGACCCCUGGCACCGAUCAGCGAAGAAGAUGACAUCAACCGCAUUGUGCAGAGUAAACUAGCCAUGUACCCAACAACGUCAGUAGAACUGAUUGAGUGGCUGUUCCUCGACGUGAAAGCAGAGAUUUGGGAGAAGCGGAGCCACGAAAUCGAACUGGUAAGAGCACAAAAGACAGUUCAGACCCCCCCUCCAAUCAACAUGGGAAAGAAGGUCCCCUUCACAGCAUUUAAAACUUUUGUGGAGAACGAAGAUGAGAUUGAUGGAUACUUAGCAGAUUUUGAGAGACAGUGCUCGUUGCAUCAAGUACCCCCAGAGCAAUGGGUCACUAUCUUGUCCGGGAAACUGUCCGGCAAGGCGAACGAAGCCUUUCGGGCUCGCACCUCAGAGGAUAUACUGCAGUAUCAGCGGGUCAAGGAUGCCCUCCUCACUAGAUGUGAGAAAUUGGUCUAGCAGAUUAUUCUUGUUCUUGGGUAGAACAUUGGCUUAAGGAUAGAGUACAACGAGUUAUCAUUAAUGGUAAAUUUUCAUGCUGGACAAAAGUGGUAAGUUGUGUCCCUCAGUGUUCUGUUUUGGGACCACUUUUUAAAAUAUUUAUAAAUUAUCUUGAAAUGGGCAUUGAAAGCCAUGUUUCGGUGUUUGCAGAUAUCUAUAGAAUAUAGAAUGCACACCAUAACAAUCUCAAAAAAACUGCUGCUACUCUCCCUAGAAGUGGCUGUCC